CCUACGGGUGGCAGCAGUGAGGAAUAUUGGUCAAUGGGCGCGAGCCUGAACCAGCCACGUAGCGUGAAGGAUGACUGCCCUACGGGUUGUAAACUUCUUUUAUAAAGGAAUAAAGUGAGGCGCGUGUGCCUUUUUGUGUGUACUUUAUGAAUGAGGAUCGGCUAACUCCGUGCCAGCAGCCGCGGUAAUACGGAGGAUCCGAGCGUUAUACGGAUUUAUUGGGUGUAAGGGGAGCGUAGAUGGGUUGUUAAGUCAGUUGUGAAAGUUUGCGGCUCAACCGUAAAAUUGCAUUUGAUACUGGCAGUCUUGAGUACAGUUGAGGCAGUCGGAAUUCGGGGUGUAGCGGUGAAAUGCUUAGAUAUCACGAAGAACUCCGAUUGCGAAGGCAGAUUACUAAACUGUCACUGACAUUGAUGCGCGAAAGUGUGGGUAUCAAACAGGAUUAGAUACCCUAGUAGUC
rnacentral:rRNA from 1 species